GUUCCCUCAUGAGUGUGGGCAUCUGUGGGGUUGCAGCAGGAGCUUCUUGGGGCUAAGGAGGAACUAUGAGCAGUUCAGAGCAGCCCUUCCUGCAAGGCCUGGUUCCCUCCAUGGAGAGAUGCACCAAACUUCCAGCAAAGCAGUUUACCCUCUGAGGCCCUUGCUGUCAGCUCCAAGCUCAUACAUCCAUGCCCUGCUGUCGAGCCUGACAGCCAUCUAUUGUUCAUUCACUGCUUCCACCUCGCCACUUAAUAAAGAAGACUGGAACCACCAGAAACCACCUGCAUGCUGUCAGCUGGAGUGCUUCAGGUUUCCUUCUUAGCAGCUUGGAACAGUGUUAGAAUUAUUCCUUUAAUGCUCUUAAUCUGACCCAUAAAAUAGCAGUUCACAGAAGGCAGAAACCCAAAGCCUU